UCACCCUUCUGGGCCAAACCACUUCCAUUCUGCUGGCAGAUCCCAUGUGGGAAGAGAGUGAGCAGGGGAGGGUCCAUUCCCCAUCCUGAGGUUGUUGUUGGAAGACAUUCAUAGGAUUCCUCCUUCAGAAUGGGCUUGCAUUUCCUGUACACACAGCGAUGGCUGGGCAUCCUGGAAGUGGGGCAGGCAGCUGAAGAACAGAGAAGCAAGGUUUCCACCUCACCCUACCGUAUACAUGCUUUGGACUUUGGAAUCGAAGUUCAGGGGGCAUCUUAGACCUGCCAGUUUGAGGACGGACUCGGUCAAGAGGCACAGCGGGGGCCCCUGUGCAGGAUGCUCAUACCGGGCUAAAGAGACGAGCACUCAUGCGAGGUGGGAUGUUACAAAGGUCCCUACAUCUCUUGGUGCUACCCUUGAGAACCGGACCCAGGCCCACAAAGCUCCUCCAAACCCAGACAAUAGAGUCCUUCAAUGCCCAGCUUCAAAAAUGGGGAGGUAAUAAAGGUAACAGGUGGACGGACAGUCCCUUA
rnacentral:lncRNA from 1 species